rnacentral:lncRNA from 1 species
CGACGAGUUGGUCCUGUCUCUGUGCCGGCUGUCCCAGAAUGUAUUAAAUCCACUAUGUCAUGAAGCCGACGGGUAUACCCUCCCACAGGGCUAGUUGGUCUGGUCUGAGUUAAAUCCACCAUCUCAUCAGGAGGUGCAAUAGGAUUUUGCUCAGCACGCAUUCCCCUGUAUGUCAUAAUCCUAUUCAGAAUGGAAUGGGUCCUAUCAGCAGCUCCACGAGAACCAUUUGAAUCCUGUGGAGGAGAUAAGUCCCGGGGUAAAUCAAAUCUUCUUCCAAGUCGUCUAAUCAUCUCCUCUACUGGGAAGCUGGAAAGAUGCCUUGAAGCAGUUUGCCUCAAACUCUCAACCCGCCGUGCAUGAGGCCUAACAGGGAUCUCCACAUUUGCAUCCUCCCCGGGCUCACGGGUGGUACACCCACGGCCAUAAAUCGGGGUCACAUUCUUCACGGUCACCUCUCCCUUGCAGACUGGGCAUUCUUUUGCAUCGGAAUGCACAUGCAACCAUUGGUAGAGGCAUGGCCAACAAAACAGGUGACCACAGCAAGUAACAACAGGGUCUGUAGCCAAAUCCAAACAAAUAUUGCAAUCAUAGAAGCUCCCGUCAUUACCACUGGCCUUCUCAACAUCAUCUUUUUUCUGUGACACCUCAUCUUCCAAAAAUCCAUUGUUAUUUUCGCACAUUUUAGGCACUUCAUUUGUUCUUUCUUCAGCAGCAACACUUCCCUCACCAGCCUGUAAUGUGCCCACAUGGCCAGAAUUAGCCAUCAGUUGAUUCAAUUCCACCGAAAGGCUUUGAGUUUGUUGUGGAACUUGAAAUUGUCUCCAUCUCCUGUGCUCUCGAGCCCUAAUUCUGACAGC